GCCGGAUUAGCUCAGCUGGUAGAGCAGCGGUUUUGUAAACCGAAGGUCGCGGGUUCGAGUCCUGCAUCCGGCA
rnacentral:tRNA from 1 species